AGCAUACUUUGUGACUGAGAAUAGUAUAAAAUUCAAGGUUGAGAGUCACUGAGUGUCAUUUGAACAUGGCCACACCCACUCAUUUACAGUUGUCAUCCUAGGGACAUUUGGGUACAGUCAUGGCAAAGUGGAAGAAGGGGCCUUUCUGUGCCCAAGUGGGUCUGGGAGACUGCUAUGAGGCAGGCCCUGGUGGUGGCACUAAGGCCGGACAGUGAUACCAUGUGCGACCUAGAGCUGGAGAACUGUACCAGGCAGUCCUGGAAAGUACCAGAAAGGGACUGCUUGCAUUGCUGAGGAGCCUGAAGUAGAGGUGGGGCUGAGGGGUAAUUGGGAGGAGCCUCCUGGGAGCCCCUUGCAGCUGUUUUCAUCCUCAUUGCUAAGAGUUCACCCUAAGUGUGCUCUCACUCCCAACUGCCCCCUCUAUUCUAGCUGGAGUCACAAUAUAUCUGUGUGUAUGUGGCCCACGCCAGGCAGAACGGCCCCUGGCAUAACUACUGCUCUCUUGCUGGCCCACAUUUGUUUCUAAAUAUAGACGCAGACUACCCCGUGGCUGCUGGUAAGUCCCAGGAUACCAUCUGAUACCCAGUGUGACCUGUGACCCUAGCCAUUGCCAGCUGCUGGAGACAGGGGAUGGGGGCAUAUUUGGCCAGACCCUUCCUGCCUCCUGCUACUGAGAACAGAGACUAGCAGGCUCCUGAUAAUGGCAUGGCUUAAUUGUCACAGGCUGGGAUGACCUCAGCUUGCAAGUGGCCCUGCUUUCUCAUUAUUACCAGAAAGGAUAAUUUAAUGUCACUCACUGGAAAACAUAAGUCACGGUUUGAGGGAAAGUGGCAGAGAGAGCCAAGGGAGGCAAGUGUCCCUGCCACCGCUCAUGGGCUGUGUGAGCCCCAAGGCGUGCUGGGUCCAUUGCUGGGGCUUCUCUCAGCUUCUAGUUAACAUAUUUUAUCUUGGAUCAGCAGCUGGAGUUAGUAGCCGUUCUAGGAGCAGUGUGAGCUUCUCAGCGUCCAUCCCUUCUCUAACUUUCCAGGGCAUAGCAGAGGGAGGCCGGCUUUGUUCUUAGCUUUCAGAUGACCAUCUUCUGUAGGCCACCAGGAGUGACUCUGGUUUAACGGACUCCCCUGUGCUGUGCUGUCUUCGUGAGUGGGUCAGGCACGGUGGCUUGUGCCUUUAAUCUCAGCACUUGAGAGUCAGCGGCAGGUAGAUCUUCUAGAUGGCUGUGAGCCACCAUGUGGUUGCUGGGAAUUGAACUCGGGACCUCUAGAAGAGAAGACAGUGAGUAUCCUUAACCUCUGAGCCAUCUCUCCAGCCUCUAACACAAAAAUCUUAGAAGUCUUCCCUAGUCAUUUUCCCUUUACCCCCUGAGGAGAUUGCAUGUGUGUGUAUGUGUGUGUGCACAGAUAUUCACAUACCACAGCAUGCAUGCAGAAAUUAAAGGACCACGCUGCCCUGCAGCCAUAAUUAUGGGAUCCAAGGAUGAAACUCAUGCUGCCAUGCUUGUCCUCAGGUUACCCCUACCUGCUAAACCAUGUUGCUGGCCCAAUCACAGAUUUAUUAUUAUUAUUAUUGUUAUUGUUGUUAUUAUUAAUGUGUGUAUAUAUAAAAUGCAUGUACACAUGCAUAUUACAGUGCACGUGUACAGGGACAGAGGACAUCAUUGAGUCAAGUUCUCUCCUACCUUUUUCUGGGAUCUGGGGAUUGAAUUCGGGUUCUCAGGUUUGCAGGCAAACUCCAUCUUAAUGCCCUACCCUCACCUCCCGCAAGACACCUUGUCUGGCAUUGUAGCCCUUUGAGCUCAUUCUCCAGAUGUGAUAUGAUCCCAGUGACCUGUGAAAUCUCUACCACUGAGCUAGCUAUACAGCCAGCCCUGCUUCCCCAGCCCCUACCCCCUUUUUAGACAGUCUUAUGUAACCCUAGCUGGCCUCACUUACUGUGUAAGCAAGGGUGACCUUGAGCUUGUGAUUGUUUGGCCCCUACUUUCCAAGAGCUAGAAUUAUAGCAUGUGCCACCAUUGUUUAUGCAUUGUUAGAUCCUAGGGCUUUGUGCAUCCUGGGCACACUGCCAGCUGGGCUACAGCCUCGGCCUUCACCUUUUAUUAUGGGACAAGGCCUCACUAAGUUACCUUAGCCAGCCUUGACUUCACUUUCUAAGCUAGGCAGGCUUUGAACUUAUGAUCCUCCUGCUUCUGCCUCCCAGGUAGAUGGGAUAAACAGGCCAGUCUGGCUGACCUACACUGACUGGCGUAAAUACAAGUCAGUGAGUGUUGUUUGGGUUUUUUUUUGUUUGUUUUUGUUUUUGUUUUCUUUAGGGUUUUUUUGUUUGUUUGUUUCAUCCUUGUUAAAAGCAAUGUAGCUUGAGAUGUCACUUGUGUGAUUCAGUUACAGUCAAGUUCAGAAGAGCUUCCAAAGGUGUCAUAACUCCUAAACUUUUCUGUACCAAAGAAUUUAAAAAGUGUAAAUAAAUAAACAGGCUUCGAGGACCCCUCCAGGCCUUUCUGGUGUUUUCUUCUUCCCCUCAUCCCCACCCCGAAGGUGGCACUCUGCUUCAGCUGCUGUUUCUGCUACACUGACAGUGGGGGGGAGAGUACUCUGCCCCUGACAAGUGGUGGCUUCUAGUCAGAGGCUAUCUGAGAAGGCAGCUGGCUCCUGCCACUCAGGGAGGCCUGUCCUUCAGAGCGGAGCUCCGAGACUCCCUCGCUGCUCCCUCAGCCUUCUUCCUGUCCCUUCUGUGCC